rnacentral:piRNA from 1 species
GGAAAUUAUGAUGCCUGUCUACAACACC